rnacentral:lncRNA from 1 species
GGUAAUAGAGCUUUCAAAUUUAUGCUGUUACUUUAUUUCUAUUCACAUGUGAAAGCAUGUGAUCAAUUGAUGCUGCAUCAGAGAUAUUACAGAUUCUUUAUUGGGCAUUCCUUAUAACCUUUUCUAUUAAAGAGAAAGGAUAUUAAAAUGUAAGAUGCAUGAUGAAAAUAUAAGUGGACAGGCUGUUCGUAUUUGACCUAUAUUAAGUAAUGUAUAAGGUAGUGUUCAGAGUAAUACUUUUCUACAUUAUAGUGAGAGAAAUUAUGAAUUACAGUUAAAGGUAUAUUAAAUUACUGUAUUAUUUUACUAAUUUUAUGUAAUAAAAUACACUACAUUAAAAAAUUGUUAGAUUGUGUGUGAAGUUAAUUUUGUUGUAUCCAUUUAUUUUUUUUUUUGAGAUGGAGUCCACUUUCUCAUCCAGGCUGGAGUGCAGCAGCGCAAUCUCUGUGUGAUCAUUGCAACCUUCACCUCCCAAGUUCAAGCGAUUCUCCUGCCUCAGUCUCCCAAGUAGCAAGGACUACAGCGCCGCGCGGUGAGGUUCUCUAGUCCACGCUCGCAGCCAUGCCGUCCAAGGGCCCGCUGCAAUCGGUGCAAGUCUUCGGACGCAAGAAGACAGCCACAGCUGUGGCGCACUGCAGACGCGGCAAUGGUCUCAUCAAGG